rnacentral:rRNA from 1 species
ACUCAAAUGAAUUGACGGGGGAGCGCACAACCGGUGGAGCAUGUGGUUUAAUUCGAUACAAAGCGAAAGACCUCACCCAGGCUUGACAUAUACCUGCAAGCCCUAUGAAAGUAGGGCCGCCUACGAGGGUGGUAUACAGCUGCUGCAUGGCUGUCGUCAGCUCGUGUCGUGAGACGUCUGCUUAAGUGCAGUAACGAGCGCAACCCCUGUCCCGUGUUAAAUUGUUCACGGGAGACUGCCUUACAGCAAGUAGGGAGGAAGGAGGGGAUGACGUCAAGUCAGCAUGGCGCUUACGCCUGGGGCAACACACAUCCUACAAUGGCAUAGACAACGGGUCGCGAAAGGGUAACCUGGAGCUAAUCCUCUAAACUAUGCCUCAGUUCAGAUUGAGGGCUGCAACCCGCCCUCAUGAAGUCGGAAUCGGUAGUAAUCGCAGGUCAGCAGACUGCGGUGAAUACGUUCUCGCUCCUUGUACACACCGCCCGU